rnacentral:rRNA from 1 species
CGGCAGGCCUAACACAUGCAAGUCGAGCGGUAGAGAGAAGCUUGCUUCUCUUGAGAGCGGCGGACGGGUGAGUAAUGCCUAGGAAUCUGCCUGGUAGUGGGGGAUAACGCUCGGAAACGGACGCUAAUACCGCAUACGUCCUACGGGAGAAAGCAGGGGACCUUCGGGCCUUGCGCUAUCAGAUGAGCCUAGGUCGGAUUAGCUAGUUGGUGAGGUAAUGGCUCACCAAGGCGACGAUCCGUAACUGGUCUGAGAGGAUGAUCAGUCACACUGGAACUGAGACACGGUCCAGACUCCUACGGGAGGCACCAGUGGGGAAUAUUGGACAAUGGGCGAAAGCCUGAUCCAGCCAUGCCGCGUGUGUGAAGAAGGUCUUCGGAUUGUAAAGCACUUUAAGUUGGGAGGAAGGGCAUUAACCUAAUACGUUGGUGUCUUGGCGUUACCGACAGAAUAAGCACCGGCUAACUCUGUGCCAGCAGCCGCGGUAAUACAGAGGGUGCAAGCGUUAAUCGGAAUUACUGGGCGUAAAGCGCGCGUAGGUGGUUCGUUAAGUUGGAUGUGAAAUCCCCGGGCUCAACCUGGGAACUGCAUUCAAAACUGUCGAGCUAGAGUAUGGUAGAGGGUGGUGGAAUUUCCUGUGUAGCGGUGAAAUGCGUAGAUAUAGGAAGGAACACCAGUGGCGAAGGCGACCACCUGGACUGAUACUGACACUGAGGUGCGAAAGCGUGGGGAGCAAACAGGAUUAGAUACCCUGGUAGUCCACGCCGUAAACGAUGUCAACUAGCCGUUGGGAGCCUUGAGCUCUUAGUGGCGCAGCUAACGCAUUAAGUUGACCGCCUGGGGAGU